UACGGAGGGUGCAAGCAUUGAUCGGAAUUACUGGGCGUAAAGGGCGCGUAGGCGGCGAGAUAAGUCAGAUGUGAAAUUCCGGGGCUCAACUCCGGAGCUGCAUUUGAAACUGUCUGGCUAGAGUUCAGUUAGGGUAAACGGAAUUCCACGUGUAGCGGUGAAAUGCGUAGAUAUGUGGAAGAACACCGGUGGUGAAGACGGUUUACUGGGCUGAUACUGACGCUGAGGCGCGAAAGCAUGGGGAGCAAACAGG
rnacentral:rRNA from 1 species